UCAUGAAGCGUUCGACUUCACCGAUUGAAUUUCUUUUUAUUUUAAACGCCAACAACUUCAUUUUCCUUCCAUUUUCGUUCUUUUGUUUUACCCAUAUUUUACCAUGAUUAUUUCUUUAAUUCCUUGCUGUUUUCUUGUUGCAGGAACGUGCUUACAACAUUCCUAGAUCCGUAACAUACGAAGAUAGUCUGUUUCGUUAGGCUACAUCGUAUCAUCUGGUAUCAGAGCAUAGGUUGGAAUUGUUGUACUUUUCUUCUCCAACAAGAAAAUUCAAAAUUCAAAACAAAAAUAUAUAUAUCAGUUUCAAAAAUUCAAAAAAAAACAACAACAAAAAGAGAAAGAAAAAUCAG
rnacentral:lncRNA from 1 species